rnacentral:rRNA from 1 species
GGAGAAGACAUUGUGUCUUCGAGUCGUUGAUUUCACACUGCCGAGAAAAGCCUCUAGAUAGAAAAUAGGUGCCCGUACCGCAAACCGACACAGGUAGUCAAGAUGAGAAUUCUAAGGUGAGCGAGCGAACUCUCGUUAAGGAACUCGGCAAAAUGACCCCGUAACUUCGGGAGAAGGGGUGCUCUUUAGGGUUAACGCCCAGAAGAGCCGCAGUGAAUAGGCCCAAGCGACUGUUUAUCAAAAACACAGGUCUCUGCUAAACCGUAAGGUGAUGUAUAGGGGCUGACGCCUGCCCGGUGCUGGAAGGUUAAGAGGAGUGGUUAGCUUCUGCGAAGCUACGAAUCGAAGCCCCAGUAAACGGCGGCCGUAACUAUAACGGUCCUAAGGUAGCGAAAUUCCUUGUCGGGUAAGUUCCGACCCGCACGAAAGGCGUAACGAUUUGGGCACUGUCUCAACGAGAGACUCGGUGAAAUCAUAGUACCUGUGAAGAUGCAGGUUACCCGCGACAGGACGGAAAGACCCCGUGGAGCUUUACUGUAGCCUGAUAUUGAAAUUCGGCACAGCUUGUACAGGAUAGGUAGGAGCCUUUGAAACGUGAGCGCUAGCUUACGUGGAGGCGCUGGUGGGAUACUACCCUAGCUGUGUUGGCUUUCUAACCCGCACCACUUAUCGUGGUGGGAGACAGUGUCAGGCGGGCAGUUUGACUGGGGCGGUCGCCUCCUAAAAGGUAACGGAGGCGCUCAAAGGUUCCCUCAGAAUGGUUGGAAAUCAUUCAUAGAGUGUAAAGGCAUAAGGGAGCUUGACUGCGAGACCUACAAGUCGAGCAGGGUCGAAAGACGGACUUAGUGAUCCGGUGGUUCCGCAUGGAAGGGCCAUCGCUCAACGGAUAAAAGCUACCCCGGGGAUAACAGGCUUAUCUCCCCCAAGAGUUCACAUCGACGGGGAGGUUUGGCACCUCGAUGUCGGCUCAUCGCAUCCUGGGGCUGUAGUCGGUCCCAAGGGUUGGGCUGUUCGCCCAUUAAAGCGGUACGCGAGCUGGGUUCAGAACGUCGUGAGACAGUUCGGUCCCUAUCCGUCGUGGGCGUAGGAAAUUUGAGAGGAGCUGUCCUUAGUACGAGAGGACCGGGAUGGACAUACCUCUGGUGUACCAGUUGUCGUGCCAACGGCAUAGCUGGGUAGCUAUGUGUGGACGGGAUAAGUGCUGAAAGCAUCUAAGCAUGAAGCCCCCCUCAAGAUGAGAUUUCCCAACUUCGGUUAUAAGAUCCCUCAAAGAUGAUGAGGUUAAUAGGUUCGAGGUGGAAGCAUGGUGACAUGUGGAGCUGACGAAUACUAA